ACACGCGGCGGUGGCGGCCGCGGCCGGUCUCGGGGCCGGCCGAGGAAAGUCCGGACUCCGCAGGGCGCAGUGGUGGGUAACGCCCACCGGGGGCAACCCCAGGGAAAGUGCCACAGAAAACAAACUGCCUAAGCGCGGCUUGCGCCGCGCCGGCGAGGGUGAAACGGCGGGGUAAGAGCCCACCGCGGGUGUGGCGACACACCCGGCACGGCAAACCCCACUGGGAGCAAGGCCAAAUAGGGAGGCAGGGGCGGCCCGCCCCGCGACGACCUCCGGGUAGGCCGCACGAGGGGGACGGCAACGUCCCUCCUAGAUGAAUGACCGCCGCCCCUUCGGGGGCAACAGAAUCCGGCUUACAAGCCGCGUGUGCAC
rnacentral:RNase_P_RNA from 1 species